AACGAACGCUGGCGGCAGGCUUAACACAUGCAAGUCGAACGAGAUCUUCGGAUCUAGUGGCAGACGGGUGAGGAACACGUGGGAACAUCCCUUUCAGUUCGGAAUAACGUUGGGAAACUAACGCUAAUACCGGAUACGUCCUUCGGGAGAAAGAUUUAUCGCUGAAAGAUUGGCCCGCGUCUGAUUAGCUAGUUGGUGAGGUAAUGGCUCACCAAGGCUACGAUCAGUAGCUGAUCUGAGAGGAUGGUCAGCCACAUUGGGACUGAGACACGGCCCAAACUCCUACGGGAGGCAGCAGUGGGGAAUAUUGGACAAUGGGCGCAAGCCUGAUCCAGCCAUGCCGCGUGAGUGAUGAAGGCCUUCGGGUUGUAAAGCUCUUUUAUCCGGGAAGAUAAUGACUGUACCGGAAGAAUAAGCCCCGGCAAACCUCGUGCCAGCCGCCGCUGUAA
rnacentral:rRNA from 1 species